rnacentral:snoRNA from 1 species
UCACUUAGAUUCAGUUGAUUCCUGACAAUAAUUGUUUCCACUAGAGGUUUUAUAACCAAAGAAGGUUCUAGUAUCUUCCUUGGCUGUCUGAGUGA